ACAGCCACAUCAUGUUCAAACACCGGUUCCCGUACGGUCACCAAAGUUAAGCAAUGCCGAGCCUGAUCAGUACUUAGAUGGGUGGGAAUACCAGGUGC